AACUAUGUGCCAGCAGCUGCGGUAAUACAUAGGUCGCGAGCGUUAUUCGGAUUUAUUGGGCGUAAAGCAAGCGCAGGCGGAUUGAUAAGUUCUGUGUUAAAAGCAGCUGCUCAACAGUUGUUUGCACCGAAUACUGUCAGUCUAGAAUGUGGUAGGGAGUUUCGGAAUUAAAUAUGGAGCGGUGGAAUGUGUAGAUAUAUUUAAGAACACCAGAAGCGAAGGCGGAAACUCAGGCCAUUAUUGACGCUUAGGCUUGAAAGUGUGGGGAGCAAAUGGGAUUAGAUACCCCAGUAGUCCACACCGUAAACGAUGGGUAUUAGAUGUCGGGUUUUAAUUCUCGGCGUUGUAGCUUACGUGUUAAAUACCCCGCCUGGGUAGUACAUAUGCAAAUAUGAAACUCAAAGGAAUUGACGGGGACCUGAACAAGUGGUGGAACAUGUUGCUUAAUUCGAUAAUACACGAAAAACCUUACCAAGGUUUGACAUCCCCCGCAAAGCCAUGGAAACAUGGUGGAGGUUAUCGGGGUGACAGGUGGUGCAUGGUUGUCGUCAGCUCGUGUCAUGAGAUGUUUGGUUAAGUCCCGCAACGAGCGCAACCCUACUCCUUAGUUACCUUUUCUAGGGAGACUGAACAGUAAUGUAUAGGAAGGUUGGGAUCACGUCAAAUCAUCAUGCCCCUUAUGCCUUGGGCUGCAAACGUGUUACAAUGGCGAGUACAAUGUGUCGCAAGCUAGCGAUAGCAAGCCAAUCACCUAAAACUCGUCUCAGUUCGGAUAGGAGGCUGCAAUUCGCCUCCUUGAAGUUGGAAUCACUAGUAAUCCCGUGUCAGCUAUAUCGGGGUGAAUACGUUCCCAGGUCUUGUAC
rnacentral:rRNA from 1 species